rnacentral:lncRNA from 1 species
CUUCAAAGACAAGAAGAUAAUGAUUCCGAUUCUGAUGAAGAUAGCGAAGACGAAAAUUUAUCGUCUCAAGGUUCAACUUCAUUUUAUAAUAAGCCUCUCAUUAAGAACGAUUAUAUUGAACCUUGACUCAAAGUAUCAAAAGGAAAGAAAAAUGGCCGCAUUCUAAGAUUUAGAGUUGGCAAUGACUCGAUGUUAUCAAAUAAAAAGAGAAGGAAAAAAGCAAUGAGGAAACUGAGAAACAUAACACUGAAGAGUUUGAAUUGAAAGUUUCCAAAGCUGUUGAAAAACGAAUGAAAGCGUUGAAAAUACAACACGAAAAACGUCUUCAAAUGAUGAAACAACAGUUAUUUGAAAAUAUUCAUGUGAGUUUAAUAAAUGUUUUUAAAUAAGUUUCUCAAUUAAUUAAUUUUUGAAUAUCUUCAUUUAUUUUCAAGCUAAGUCUACAAGCAACGACCCCAAUCUUCCAUCAUCUAGUAAUGUUCCUGUUGUUCCUGCUUCAUCUGAGAUAAACCAAAUUAUUCCUUUAUCGAAAAAUUAUUGGGAAGAAGAAAAUACCGACACCUCGAUCAAAGGUUAAAACUUUAGAU